rnacentral:misc_RNA from 1 species
GAUGAAGAACGCAGCAAAAUGCGAUACUUGGUGUGAAUUGCAGAAUCCCGUGAACCAUCGAGUUUUUGAACGCAAGUUGCGCCCGAAGCCUUUUGGCCGAGGGCACGUCUGCCUGGGCGUCACGCAUCGCGUCGCCCCCCACAACUCUCCGUAAAGGGAACUUGUGUUUUGGGGGCGGAUAUUGGUCUCCCGUGCUGAUGGCGUGGUUGGCCGAAAUAGGAGUCCCUCCGGUGGACGCACGAACUAGUGGUGGUCGUAAAAACCCUCGUCUUUUGUUUCGUGCCGUUAGUCGCGAGGGAAACUCUUUAAAACCCCAAAUGUGUCGUCUCUUGACGGCGCUUCGACCGCGACCCCAGGUCAGGCGGGACUACCCGCUGAGUUUAAGCAUAUCAAUAAGCGGAGGA